UACAGAGGUCUCGAGCGUUAAUCGGAAUCACUGGGCUUAAAGGGUGCGUAGGCGGACCUGUAAGUGCUUUGUGAAAUCCCAUGGCUCAACCAUGGAACGGCUUGGCAUACUGCAGGUCUUGAGGUCGGUAGGGGUUGCCGGAACUCUAGGUGGAGCGGUGAAAUGCGUAGAUAUCUAGAGGAACGCCAAAGGUGAAGACAGGCAACUGGGCCGAUUCUGACGCUGAUGCACGAAAGCGUGGGUAG
rnacentral:rRNA from 1 species